GGCGGGGCCGGUGACGGGAGGCGCUGACGGCGCCUACGUGUCACCAUGGAAACCAAACAGUAAACAGAGGAUUCGGGAGCUCCUGACGCGGCCUGACCGGACGACCUGCCCUGGAGCAAAGGGCCAGAAGCUGGGGAGGGCCGGGCGGAACCUGGACCUAGCGCCCCUUCCGGGAGGUCCCGGGGAGUCAGCUCGACCUCUUGCAACCCAGGAGCCAGCAGGGACAGGCCAUUGUGCUGUCUUCUCUUCAGAUCUGCUGUUUAAACACUGUGUUGUGUGCUACCAGAGUCAGACACUGCAUUCAAAAUGAUCACAGCGAUUCUGAACCAUUACAGACCUUUAAAGUGGAGGCACGUAGCAGAGUCCGUGUGUUGGGAACCAGCUGUUUGUGUAAUUGGGAAUUACUUCCAUGUAGAAUACAUUGCUUUAAAUGACCAUGAACUCUUUGAGGACAGGGCUGUGCCUUCCUCGCAUCUGAAUGCAGCACCUGACAUAUAGUAGACACCCAGAAACUUUUAUCGAAUGACAUGAAGCCCAUGCUUGCUCCAGAGGAUGGGGAAACUAAGGUGGCCCAUCCAGGAGCCAAUCCCAAGCUGAGUCUAUGCUAUAUUGGAUCCAAUUCCUCAAACCCUGGUUAACUACUCAUCUUGUUUUGAUAAGUUUAGCUGUGAUGGCAGUUUCAUGAUUGACUAAAAAGACUGAAGGGGAAUCAUUGCUUCUGUAGCUCUGACCACAAAUUGCUUGCUCCCCAGUGUAAAUAUGGCAGCAACUGAGGCUGCACCAUCUACCCUUAUGAUCAAGGCGGGGCCUUUUGCUCCAUAUCCUUACACAGGCUCCCUUCCUGGGGGCCUGCUUCCAAUGUCACCAAUGAUCCAGCCCCUCUGCGUUCUUAUCCGCAUCAACUGAUGGAACCACACCCAAGCACCACGUCGGUGUGAGCUGAAAGUUU